GACGUAGGGUGCGAGCGUGUCCGGAUUUAUUGGGCGUAAAGAGCUCGUAGGCGGCUCGUCGCGUCGACCGUGAAAACCCGCGGCUUAACUGCGGGCUUGCGGUUGAUACGGGCGGGCUAGAGUUCGGUAGGGGAGACUGGAAUUCCUGGUGUAGCGGUGGGAAUGCGCAGAUAUCAGGAAGAACACCGGUGGCGAAAGGCGGCUCUCUGGGCCUUACCUGACGCUGAGGAGCGAAAGUGUGGGGAGCGAACAGG
rnacentral:rRNA from 1 species